UACGUAGGGUGCGAGCGUUAAUCGGAAUUACUGGGCGUAAAGAGCGCGUAGGCGGUCCGGUAAGUCGGUUGUGAAAACUGGGGGCUCAACCCUCAGAGGCCGACCGAUACUGCUGGGCUAGAGUCCGGAAGAGGCGAGUGGAAUUCCUGGUGUAGCGGUGAAAUGCGCAGAUAUCAGGAGGAACACCAAUGGCGAAGGCAGCUCGCUGGGACGGUACUGACGCUGAGGCGCGAAAGCCAGGGGAGCAAACGGG
rnacentral:rRNA from 1 species